UAUUAAGAAUUUUAUCCAUUUAUACUGUUAAAAAUUAACGUGGUUAACGGAAUAAUCAGACAAUGACACGUGACGUGCUAUGAAUACUUUAUACUGACAUAUGGGUACUAGUUUUUAACAGCAACAAUAGAUGAAAUUUUUAAUA
rfam:Gossypium arboreum cultivar AKA8401 contig_1765_7, whole genome shotgun sequence.